UACAGAGGGUGCGAGCGUUGUUCGGAAUUAUUGGGCGUAAAGGGCGCGUAGGCGGUGCGGUAAGUCACCUGUGAAAUCUCCUGGCUCAACUGGGAGCUUGCAGGCGAAACUGCCGUGCUGGAGUGUGGGAGAGGUGGGUGGAAUUCCCGGUGUAGCGGUGAAAUGCGUAGAUAUCGAGAGGGACACCUGCGGCGAAGGCGGGUUGCUGGGCUGACACUGACGCUGAUGUGCGAAAGCUAGGGGAGCGAACGGG
rnacentral:rRNA from 1 species